rnacentral:tRNA from 1 species
GGGGAUGUAGUUCAAUGGCAGAACUGGUGCUUCCCAAGCACCCAGCGCGGGUUCGAUUCCCGUCAUCCCCUCCA